rnacentral:rRNA from 1 species
CAACAGCGUAUAUUUAAGUUGUUGCAGUUAAAACGCUCGUAGUGUGACUUCGGUCAAGCUCCGUAGGUCUGCCAGUCCGUCUGGUGUGCACUUGCGGGGUUUGGCUAACAAUCGAGAACGGCAUUGCACUUGAUUGUGUGAUGUUGGCCUCGGUGCAGAUACUUUGAGUAAAGGUUCGUGUUCCAAGCAGGCGGUCGCCUUGAUAUUUGCAGCAUGGGAUAUCGAGACAGGACUUGGGUCCUAUCUUGUUGGUUCUCGGGAUCCAAGUAAUGGUUAACAGGGAUAGUUGGGGGCACUCGAAUUUGGCAGCUAGAGGUAAAUUCUUGGAUUUGCCAACGACGAACGACUGCGAAAGCAUUUGCCAAGGAUGUUUUCAUUAA